UACGGGGGGGGGCAAGCGUUUGUUCGGAAUUACUGGGCGUAAAGCGCACGUAGGCGGCUUUGUAAGUUAGAGGUGAAAGCCCGGGGCUCAACUCCGGAAUUGCCUUUAAGACUGCAUCGCUAGAAUUGUGGAGAGGUAAGUGGAAUUCCGAGUGUAGAGGUGAAAUUCGUAGAUAUUCGGAAGAACACCAGUGGCGAAGGCGACUUACUGGACACAUAUUGACGCUGAGGUGCGAAAGCGUGGGGAGCAAACAGG
rnacentral:rRNA from 1 species